rnacentral:rRNA from 1 species
UAAGGAAUAUUGGUCAAUGGACGCAAGUCUGAACCAGCCAUGCCGCGUGAAGGAUGAAGGUCCUCUGGAUUGUAAACUUCUUUUAUCUGGGACGAAAACGGGAUUUUUAUCUCAAUUGACGGUACCAGAGGAAUAAGCACCGGCUAACUCCGUGCCAGCAGCCGCGGUAAUACGGAGGGUGCGAGCGUUAUCCGGAUUUACUGGGUUUAAAGGGUGCGUAGGUGGGCUUAUAAGUCAGUGGUGAAAUCUCCGAGCUUAACUUGGAAACUGCCGUUGAUACUAUAGGUCUUGAAUUAUCUGGAGGUAAGCGGAAUAUGUCAUGUAGUGGUGAAAUGCUUAGAUAUGACAUAGAACACCAAUUGCGAAGGCAGCUUACUACAUAUAAAUUGACGCUGAGGCACGAAAGCGUGGGGAUCAAACA